AUUGAACGCUGGCGGCAGGCCUAACACAUGCAAGUCGAGCGGAUGAGGGAAGCUUGCUUCCCGAUUUAGCGGCGGACGGGUGAGUAAUGCCUAGGAAUCUGCCUAUUAGUGGGGGAUAACGUUCCGAAAGGAACGCUAAUACCGCAUACGUCCUACGGGAGAAAGUGGGGGAUCUUCGGACCUCACGCUAAUAGAUGAGCCUAGGUCGGAUUAGCUAGUUGGUGGGGUAACGGCUCACCAAGGCGACGAUCCGUAGCUGGUCUGAGAGGAUGAUCAGCCACACUGGAACUGAGACACGGUCCAGACUCCUACGGGAGGCAGCAGUGGGGAAUAUUGGACAAUGGGCGAAAGCCUGAUCCAGCCAUGCCGCGUGUGUGAAGAAGGCCUUCGGAUUGUAAAGCACUUUAAGUUGGGAGGAAGGGUUGUAAGCUAAUAUCUUGCAGCUUUGACGUUACCAACAGAAUAAGCACCGGCUAACUCUGUGCCAGCCGCCGCAGUAAGAC
rnacentral:rRNA from 1 species